rnacentral:lncRNA from 1 species
CGGGCCAUGGGGCGCCCGGGUGGGCGGGCGGCCGGAGCAGGAGCCCGGCGGGACUCGGCGCCAGGCGAUCUGAAAAAUAAAUAUACCUGCAAGUUCCUUGCUUUACCCCUGGGGACCCUGUGGGAUCCAGCCCAUCCACUUCUCCCGCCCUCCCACACUGUCUGGCUUUCACUCCUGGAGACCUUUCCAGUCUCGGUAAGAAAAUAGACAUGCAGUUUCAUCUUCCUAAAAUGCCCACCCCACGCUCUCUCUUCACAUCCUGAUUCUUCUUCAUGGGGAUAUGAUGCCCCUGGUCUCUCCUCGCAGUGAGCCCCCCAGCCCCAAUCACUUUCUUCUCUCCCCACCUGUUCCCCUGCCAGCACUCCUCACAGUUUAUAAUCACAUGUUGAUUACUUCUUAUUUAUUUUCUGUCACUAGAUUGGAAGCUCCUGAGGACAGAAGUCCUAUAUAUUUUUAAUAUUUAUUGAUUUGGCUCUGCCAUGUCUUAGUUGUAGCACCUGGGAUGUUUUGAAUUCUUAGUUGGGGCAUGUGGGAUCUAGUUCCCUGACAAGGAAUGAACCCAGGCCACUUAUUGGGAGCGUGGAGUUUUAGCCACUGGACCACCAGGGAAACCCUGGGGAUCCUGUGUUUUAUNNCUGACCGUCAGUGGCUUCCCACAUUGAGAUAGCAUGGAGUCGGCGCUGCCAUGUUCCAGACACCUCAUGAGGCUGGAGACCUGAGGGU